rnacentral:lncRNA from 1 species
GCAGCCACAGUCGCAGCCACGGCCGCAGCCACCACAGCCGCAGCUGCCACUGCCACAGCUGCCUCCCCUUCUCCUCUUCCUCUCUUAUUCCAUUUUCCUUUCUCUUCUUCUUCCUUUCCUUCUCCCUUUCCCAGCUGCACUGCUGCAGUCGCAGCCUCAACCACGGCCGCAGCCUCUUCUUCCUCCCCUGCCCAUCUUCCUCUCCUUCUUCUCUUCCAACUGAAGCUGCCAUCGCCGCAGUCGCAGCCGCAACCGUAGCCCCUUCUUCCCCUUCUCUUCUUCCUCUCCUUCCCUUCUUACUUCCUCUCCCUCUUUCCCUGCCACAGCUGCAGCUGCCACAGCCACAGCCGCUACUACUUCUUUCCCUUCUCCUUCCUUUCUUCUUCUUCUCUUCUUCUCCUUCCUCCCCUUCUUCUCCCCGACGCACAGCACCUC